rnacentral:rRNA from 1 species
CGUGUAGGCGGCUCAUCAAGUCUGGUGUGAAAAUAGCAGGGCGUCAACCCUCGCAAAUAGCGCUGGAAACUGGUGGGCUUGAGUUCUUGAGGGGAAGCUGGAAUUCCAGGUGUAGGGGUGAAAUCUGUAGAUAUCUGGAAGAACACCGGUGGCGAAGGCGAGCUUCUAUCAGAGGACUGACGCUGAGGCGCGAAAGCGUGAGGAGCAAACAGGAUUAGAUACCCUGGUAGUCCACGCUGUAAACGAUGUGCACUAGGCGCGGGGCACGUACGUGUUCUGUGCCGUAGCUAACGUGGUAAGUGCACCGCCUGGGGAGUAUGCUCGCAAGGGUGAA